rnacentral:rRNA from 1 species
UGAGGAACAUGACCUUCGGCGGGGGAUAGCCGGCCCAACGGCCGGGUAAUACCGCGUACGACCACAUGGGGACAUCCCUGAGUGGUGAAAGCAGCAAUGCGCCGAUGGAGUGCCUCGCGGCCUAUCAGCUAGUUGGUGAGGUAACGGCUCACCAAGGCGACGGACGGGUAGCUGGUCUGAGAGGAUGGCCAGCCACAUUGGGACUGAGACACGGCCCAGACCUCGUACGGGGA